CUGUGGAGCUGUGGAGGUGACGGCUGUCUGAGACGGAGCGUCUGCCUCUGCUUUUCAGGCCUGUUUCUGCUGACUGCUGCAGGUGUGUGUGUGCUGCUGCUGUC